rnacentral:rRNA from 1 species
CCUUGGCGUAUAGAGGCGAUGAAGGACGUGACAGGCUGCGAAAAGCUGUGGUGAGGUGCCAGUAACCUUUGACCCACAGAUAUCCGAAUGGGGAAACCCACCCCUUCAGGGGUAUUCCAUACUGAAUACAUAGGUAUGGGAAGCGAACCCGGCGAACUGAAACAUCUAAGUAGCCGGAGGAAAGGACAUCAACAGAGACUCCCUUAGUAGCGGCGAGCGAACGGGGACCAGCCGAGCCUUGAGCGUGACUAGAAUGUGCUGGAAAGCACAGCCAUAGCGGGUGACAGCCCCGUAUAGGAAGCGUGAUGGGACGUAUUAAGUAGGGCGGGACACGUGAAAUCCUGUCUGAAGAUCGGAGGACCACCUUCGAAGGCUAAGUACUCCUUACUGACCGAUAGUGAACCAGUACCGUGAGGGAAAGGUGAAAAGCACCCCGACGAGGGGAGUGAAACAGUACCUGAAACCGAACGCCUACAAUCAGUCGGAGCCCCCUUGCGGGGUGACGGCGUACCUUUUGUAUAAUGGGUCAGCGACUUAUGUUCAGUGGCGAGGUUAACCGUUUAGGGGAGCCGUAGGGAAACCGAGUCUGAAUAGGGCGAUUUAGUCGCUGGGCAUAGACCCGAAACCGGGCGAUCUAUCCAUGAGCAGGUUGAAGGUGCCGUAACAGGCACUGGAGGACCGAACCCACUG